rnacentral:rRNA from 1 species
GCAAGUCGAGCGCACUUUUGGUCUUCGAAUUAAAAGCGAGCGGCGGACGGGUUAGUAACGCGUGGGAACGUACCCUUUUCUAAGGAAUAGCCUCGGGAAACUGAGAGUAAUACCUUAUACGCCCUUCGGGGGAAAGAUUUAUCGGAGAAGGAUCGGCCCGCGUUAGAUUAGAUAGUUGGUGGGGUAAUGGCCUACCAAGUCUACGAUCUAUAGCUGGUUUUAGAGGAUGAUC